rnacentral:rRNA from 1 species
AUUGAACGCUGGCGGCAUGCCUAACACAUGCAAGUCGAGCGGAGCGGCGGACGGGUGAGUAAUGCCUAGGAAUCUGCCUGGUAGUGGGGUAUAACGUCCGGAAACGGGCCCUAAUACCGCAUACUAUCAGAUGAGCCUCGGUCGGAUUAGCUAGUUGGUGGGGUAAAGGCCUACCAAGGCGACGAUCCGUAACUGUUCUGAGAGGAUGAUCAGUCACACUGGAACUGAGACACGGUCCAGACUCCUACGGGAGGCAGAAGUGGGGAAUAUUGGACAAUGGGCGAAAGCCUGAUCCAGCCAUGCCGCGUGUGUGAAGAAGGUCUUCGGAUUGUAAAGCACUUUAAUUUGAGAGGCGGUACCAAAAGAAUAAGCACCGGCUAACUUCGUGCCAGCAGCCGCGGUAAUUC